rnacentral:tRNA from 1 species
GGGCCUGUAGUUUCAAUGGUAAAACAUCGCACUCCAAACGCGAGGUUCCCCGUUCGAGUCGGGGCGGGCCCGCAA